rnacentral:rRNA from 1 species
AUUGAACGCUGGCGGCAUGCUUUACACAUGCAAGUCGAACGGCAGCGCGGGCUUCGGCCUGGCGGCGAGUGGCGAACGGGUGAGUAAUGCAUCGGAACGUGCCCAGUAGUGGGGGAUAGCCCGGCGAAAGCUGGAUUAAUACCGCAUACGACCUGAGGGUGAAAGCGGGGGACCGAAAGGCCUCGCGCUAUUGGAGCGGCCGAUGGCGGAUUAGCUAGUUGGUGGGGUAAAGGCUUACCAAGGCGACGAUCCGUAGCUGGUCUGAGAGGACGACCAGCCACACUGGGACUGAGACACGGCCCAGACUCCUACGGGAGGCAGCAGUGGGGAAUUUUGGACAAUGGGGGCAACCCUGAUCCAGCCAUGCCGCGUGCGGGAAGAAGGCCUUCGGGUUGUAAACCGCUUUUGUUCGGGAAGAAAUCCUCUGGGCUAAUACCCCGGGGGGAUGACGGUACCGGAAGAAUAAGCACCGGCUAACUACGUG